CACCGCGGUUAUACGAGAGGCCCUAGUUGAUUUAAUCGGCGUAAAGAGUGGUUAUGGAGAAUAAGAAACUAAAGCCGAAGACCUCUUAGGCCGUCAUACGUACCUAGAGGCUCGAAUAACAAACACGAAAGUAGCUUUACCCCUUCCUGCCAGAACCCACGAGAGCUGGGAUA
rnacentral:rRNA from 1 species